GCCCUCUUGUUCUUUUGAUUUUUCCAUCUUGUUAUUUUUAGCGCAUCUCUAAAUUUAGAGAUUUCAGAAAGUUUAUGGGUAGCCAUACUCCGUGACUAGGCAUAAGAGAAUGUUUCCUGAUUUCCUGGUGAAAGGGAGAAUGAGUAGCCUAGUGUUAUCUCAAACCUUGGUUGGUAUUUUUAUCUGAAAGAACUAGGGCACCUUUUUUAGAAAUGUUGCUAGACAAUGUUCCUCGUUACUAUGGUUGUGAUUUAUUUUUUGGAAAACUUUAAUAAUCUGUAUGCAAAUAGUCAUGAUCAUUCUAUCAUAAUAAAUUGAACUGGUUAUGUGGUUGCCCAGCAACACUGGUAAAAAAGCUGCCCCAUGUAUCAUAAGCUUAAGACAUUCUGUAGUGCCUGUUAUGUUAUGUGACUCAUUUGCUGAAAAUGUUUCUGGUGUAGAGUUACACAAAGAGCUCAGAAAGAGAGUGAUAAUGCAAAACUUUAAUGCUUCAUUCUGUCAACUUUCACCGAAGACUAUAGAGGGCCGGGCCCUGUGAAAUACUGAGGUCAAAAUGGCCAUAGGGUCAUAAGCGGGAUAACGGCCUUCGUGGUGUGUCCAGUGCGCUGUGCGUCGGGGAGUUCUUUGCCCCUCGCCCUCGUCCAUUAAUUCCGUAUAACAGGACACCUCGGCGGCCGUUAUCCCUUACUUAUCCCCCCUGUUGUCCCUUCCCGACGUUAGGUUCUCAUGGGUCUCCUGUCUGAUUUGACUGAUUGCACAUGUGCCGGUUCACUCAUGCAGAUGAAGUUGCUGUGUUUACUGUCGCUGUUCUAGCCAGAGCACUAUAUGUUGGAAGGAAGUUAAAGUCGAAGGUGAAGAAAUGUUAAAAUUCCACAAUUUAAACAUGACAACAUGGCUCUAGCUGUUCAUCUGCUGGUCAAUGACGAACGUUAGGUUAACUGCAAGGUAGCUGGUUAGCACUCCAGCUUGUCAAUAUUAACAGA